CCUACGGGAGGCAGCAGUGAGGAAUAUUGGUCAAUGGACGAGAGUCUAACCAGCCAAGUAGCGUGAAGGAUGACUGCCCUAUGGGUUGUAAACUUCUUUUAUAUGGGAAUAAAAUGUUCCACGUGUGGGAUUUUGUAUGUACCAUAUGAAUAAGGAUCGGCUAACUCCGUGCCAGCAGACGCGGUAAUACGGAGGCUCCGAGCGUUAUCCGGAUUUAUUGGGGUUAAAGGGAGCGUAGGUGGAUUGUUAAGUCAGUUGUGAAAGUUUGCGGCUCAACCGUAAAAUUGCAGUUGAAACUGGCAGUCUUGAGUACAGUAGAGGUCAGCGGAAUUCGUGGUGUAGCGGUGAAAUGCUUAGAUAUCACGAAGAACUCCGAUUGCGAAGGCAGCUCACUGGACUGCAACUGACACUGAGGCUCGAAAGUGUGGGUAUCAAACAGGAUUAGAUACCCGGGUAGUC
rnacentral:rRNA from 1 species